ACGGGUGAGUAACGCGUGGGAACAUACCCUUUUCUACGGAAUAGCUCUGGGAAACUGGAAUUAAUACCGUAUACGCCCUACGGGGGAAAGAUUUAUCGGGGAAGGAUUGGCCCGCGUUGGAUUAGCUAGUUGGUGGGGUAAAGGCCUACCAAGGCGACGAUCCAUAGCUGGUCUGAGAGGAUGAUCAGCCACAUUGGGACUGAGACACGGCCCAAACUCCUACGGGAGGCAGCAGUGGGGAAUAUUGGACAAUGGGCGCAAGCCUGAUCCAGCCAUGCCGCGUGAGUGAUGAAGGCCUUAGGGUUGUAAAGCUCUUUCACCGAUGAAGAUAAUGACGGUAGUCGGUGAAGAAGCCCCGGCUAACUUCGUGCCAGCAGCCGCGGUAAUACGAAGGGGGCUAGCGUUGUUCGGAAUUACUGGGCGUAAAGCGCACGUAGGCGGAUAUUUAAGUCAGGGGUGAAAUCCCAGAGCUCAACUCUGGAACUGCCUUUGAUACUGGGUAUCUUGAGUAUGGAAGAGGUAAGUGGAAUUGCGAGUGUAGAGGUGAAAUUCGUAGA
rnacentral:rRNA from 1 species